UACAUUUAUGAUGUGAGAAUAUGUAUAAAUUCACAGAACGGGUGAAUGUUUCUACCGGCUGCCAUACGAGCUGACUAUGUAUUUUCCCAGAGAGGUG
rnacentral:ncRNA from 2 species